rnacentral:rRNA from 1 species
UACGUAGGAGGCAAGCGUUGUCCGGAGUUACUGGGCGUAAAGGGCCCGCAGGCGGUGGAGUAAGUUUGGAGUGACAGUUCCCAGCUUAACCGGGAAAGGACUUCGAAAACUGCUCGACUUGAGGACUGGAGAGGAAGGCGGAAUUCCGGGUGGAGCGGUGAAAUGCGUAGAGAUCCGGAGGAACACCGACGGCGAAGGCAGCCCCCUGGGUCAAGAUUGACGCUCAUGCACGAAAGCGUGGGGAGCAAACAGG